ACUAGCAUAAUUAAUGAUAUUCGAGUUUCUUCGCGAGAAAUGGUGUCGUCUUUUAUCGCGGAGUGCAACGGUAUACCUUUUAAUUUUGCAUCGUUUCGCGAAUAGAAAGUCCGUGUCAAAAAUUUAUAAGACCGAAUUAUUUCGGAGGUGAAACUUGCUGUGUGUACUCUACGAUUCGACGAUUCAUUCGAAAUGUACGUGAAAAUUUCAAAGUGUCAACGAGGUGUAAAUGAGACUGUAACGCGUGUUGCAAUGUUCUCUAUAAAUCACCGAUUUCCGAUAAUACAAAUUGCAACAGCACACCAGCCCACUAAUUACAUUGCAUUAUUAAAACCAAUCGAUGAACAUAAUCUGUUCCCAGCAGCGCGGCCCCGAGGGGGAGGGGGAUUGGGAUCGAAUACAUUAUCCUGCACCUUGUAGCUGUAACUCUCAUAAUGUCAAGUUCGCAAUUAACCACGUUUCAAUAUUUUGCCGUAUAGGUGAGUACGUUAGGUUUAUCAACUUGUACGUACUACGUACACUAACCGUACAAAGUUUGGAUACACCUGUCGUAAUUUCUUGCCGCACUAAAAGUUGGAUAACGGACUGGAAAAAAAAGAUUGUGGGAUUUUAUCAAACGGCGUUGCGAAGAGCAUGGAUUCAGCUUGAUUCGUGUAUUUUUUCGGUAAACUUACGAUGUUUCUUGGUCUCCGUACGAAUUUUCCAAUGUGGCUAUUUUCCGAAAUUUUUCUUUAUGAAAUACCGAACAGGCGUGUCAAGAGCUUCAUUUUAUUUUUUCAUAAAGUUUCCUGCAAUUUUUUCUCGCGUCGUUAUUGCAUUUUUUUCGAAAAAAGACGAGUUUUUGAAUUUGUGGCGUAAUUGAAGAACUGUGGGGUUCAGGAGAAAAUGUCACGAAGAUGAAAAGUUGCACGGGUUCACGCUGGGAUGGCCGGAAUUUUUUCAGAACUUUUUGCGCAAUUUUUUAUUUUUAAUUUUGUUUCGGGACUCUGAUGAUGAGAGGGGGUGCAUUUGAGAAUGAUGGGGUCGGGACAAUUUAUCAAAGGAGAAAAUUUGUUCGUUAUUCCAAUUUGCAUCAAUUAUGAUUUUCGUUUAGAAUAUUCGCUAGAGUUAUUGAUACAAUACUCAUAUAAUAUUUGGGAAUAUGAUAAUCAAAUUACCGGCCAUCUCAACGUGAACCCGUGCAACUUUUCACCUUCGUGACAUUUUCUCCUGAACCCCACAGUUCUUAAAUUACGCCACAAUUUCGAAAGAUCGUCUUUCUUCGCAACGAAUGCGAUAACGACGCGAAAAAAAUCGCGGGAAACACAAGACAAAAUGAAAAAGGAGCUUUUGACACCACCGUUCAGGUGUUCAUAAAGAAAAAUCACGAAAAUUUAUACCACAGAAUGUGCCGAAAAUUUUCGGAGAAUGAAAAAUUUUGGAAAAGGGCCACAUCGGAGAAUUCGUACCGAGACCAAAAAAAAAAACGUGAUAUACCGAAAUGAGAUCCAGUGAAUUGCGUACGUGCGAUUUGGUAUUUCGUCAUCGGAGUAACUCGUACGUAGAUCGUAGAUUCUUCGUUUCCAAAGCAACGGCAGUACGGCCGGAGCAGCCGAAGCGACAAGGUGCGACAUCAGGAGCGACAUCGAUGGCAACGCGUCAUCCUUGGAGAAGAGAGAGAAGGAGGAAGAUACAUUGGGGCUUACAACCAGUCAUCACAGUGUCUAGGUCAUCGUAGUACUCGUUCAACUUCCAACCACGAAGGGCAGGAGUUACAUGGCAUCGCACGAUUCGUUUACAGCAUCUCCGACGUUGGAAGAUAUGCGACCUGUAACAUAAAUAAGAAAUAUACAAUUAAUCAACUGAUUACAUAACUUACCUAAUGUAUGACUCAUUUUAUGAUCAGCAUAUAAGUAUAAGACAUUUGAAUUAUAAUAAAUUGUACCAAGUUGUAUGAUAAUAAAUUAUUGUCUUGCCUUAUUGGCGUGUCUGAUGCAUUUUAUUAUGGCGGGUGUAUGCAUCUACCAAGUCUAUUGGGUAAUGCUGGGUGAUCUGAUUUUGUGAGGAGUAUUUUGAAAAUAUUUUCCAAGGGGUUGCAAUUCAUACACGCAGACUCUGAAUGUUGGAACAUACUAGGGACCCUCGAGAGGGAUAAAUUAAA